ACAUGGUCACUUAAACGUAUCGUCAAUAUAAAAAAUAUCCACGAGACAUUUUACAGUUUUUUUUUUUUAGAGACAGGGUCUUACUCAGGUGCUGAGGCUGGAUUGCAGUGGUGCAAUCAUGGCUCACUGCAGAGUCCAGCUCCCGGGCUCAAGCGAUCCUCCCACUUCAAACUCCUCAAUAGCUAGGACUUCAGGCUCGUGUCACCAUGCCUAGCUAAUUUUUUAUUUUUUAUAGAGACAGGGUCUCACUAUGUUGCCCAGGUUGGUCUUCAACUCCUGGCCUCAAGCGAUCCUCCUGCCUCAGCCUCCCCAAAGUGCUGGGAUUACAGGCGUGAGCCAUGGUGCCCAGCCUGCUUCAGUUUUAAAAUUUGUAUAUAAAAUAAUAAAGUUAAAUACAACGGAAAGUUCAUUUCCUUAGUUGCGUGGGCUGUGUUUUAGGUGCCCAGGGGGUCACAGACGGCCGGGGGACGGGAGGAGCUCAGGUCGGGGGCAGGCAUCGCGUUUGCGGGGAUGGAUCCUUAACCCAGAGAGGAAGGUGGUUGCUCUGACCUCAGACACUCUUGGAGAAAAAGUGGGCAGAAGCCUCGCAGGUGGGGUCCUGGGAGAGGCUGGGGCCAGCCAGUAGGCCUUGAGAAGUGGCUAUGGUUACAGCGUGGCGGUCAUCGGUGGGGAGCAGGCUGUGGGCUGGGGUGUGGGACAGUGGAGACACAGGUCUUGAGGCGUUAGCAGCAAAGAACGGCUGAAAAGUGCGGCGGGGGCCUUGGGGGCCUGAGGGGAUGCCACGUGGCUGGGACGUGUGGCCCCGGC
rnacentral:lncRNA from 10 species